rnacentral:rRNA from 1 species
CCUACGGGGGGCAGCAGUGGGGAAUAUUGCACAAUGGGGGAAACCCUGAUGCAGCGACGCCGCGUGAGUGAAGAAGUAAUUCGUUAUGUAAAGCUCUAUCAGCAGGGAAGAAAAUGACGGUACCUGAGUAAGAAGCCCCGGCUAACUACGUGCCAGCAGCCGCGGUAAUACGUAGGUGGCGAGCGUUAUCCGGAAUGAUUGGGCGUAAAGGGUGCGCAGGCGGUCCUGCAAGUCUGGAGUGAAACGCAUGAGCUCAACUCAUGCAUGGCUUUGGAAACUGGAGGACUGGAGAGCAGGAGAGGGCG